rnacentral:rRNA from 1 species
UGGCGGACGGGUGAGUAAUGUCUGGGAAACUGCCUGAUGGAGGGGGAUAACUACUGGAAACGGUAGCUAAUACCGCAUGACCUCGCAAGAGCAAAGUGGGGGACCUUCGGGCCUCACGCCAUCGGAUGUGCCCAGAUGGGAUUAGCUAGUAGGUGGGGUAAUGGCUCACCUAGGCGACGAUCCCUAGCUGGUCUGAGAGGAUGACCAGCCACACUGGAACUGAGACACGGUCCAGACUCCUACGGGAGGCAGCAGUGGGGAAUAUUGCACAAUGGGCGCAAGCCUGAUGCAGCCAUGCCGCGUGUGUGAAGAAGGCCUUCGGGUUGUAAAGCACUUUCAGCGAGGAGGAAGGGUAUCGUGUUAAUAGCACGGUACAUUGACGUUACUCGCAGAAGAAGCACCGGCUAACUCCGUGCCAGCAGCCGCG